AACAAUAUACAUAAACAAAGUGUUUCAUAAAAUACAAAAAUAUUUUUUCACAAUAAUUCUUUAUCUUACUGCUUACUGUUAUGAUAGUACAUAGACCAAGGAUAGCCCAUGGAAAGAGGAAGCCGAGUACACCUGGUUUUGUUUAAAAAUAUAUAUCUAAUUUUAUUUCUAAAAAAAAUUAGCGUCGCGUGUAAUGCCUCUUAUUUAUUCUAUUAUUUUAUUGUUUUCAGAUGAAGGGCCACCCUGAUUCUCCUGAAUGACUUCACUAUGAGUAGCUGGCCAUAUGCAGGUUUCGAUCGCAGCGAAGAGUAUGCUGUGAAGGGGAAUAGUUCAUCGUGGACUUGCGCAGAACCGACGCAGGCGACAUCUAUGCACGCCAAUAGAAACUAUCAACGGCACUAGGAAUAGUUUAAGGGGUUAACUUCAUAAUCUCUGCCUAAAGUAUUUUCAAUUCUAAAUGGGGCUCGAAACCCUGUGUUAUUUCGUUCCUUUUUCAGAACUCCUGAGAAAAAGGAUUGAUUUUUUAAUAAAGCAUAGAAAUAAAACCUAGAAUAUAAGACACAGGCGUUUUCCCUAUGUAAAGAGGCAUUACAGGAUGAUUAAAUAAGAAGUUAAUGAAAUCACAAUUAGAAUAUUGAGGUAUUUUAUGAAACCUGUAAUCAUUUCUCACACAAUAACUUUCAUUCAUGAAAUGAGAGACAUUGUCAUUUUGCGACCACAAAAAUAUCAAUAUAAUAGAAUAGAGUAGGUAUUAUUUUAUUCUAAGUUUAUGAUACAGAACAUCAAAGUAUACGCAAACACUACCGUAUCCGAUGCAGAAAUAGGUAUUACAAGUCAUUUUUUAUGCUUAGCACAUUAUACUUUAGAUACCUCCCGAACUGAAGUUACACAGAAGAAAAGACAAGCAGUCAAACAACAUAGAAGAGAAGAGAAGAAAAUGGGUUAGACCGCGUUGGCAGUGUGGUUAGCUGGUUGUUUAUUAUAUGACAACAGCCACUAACGACACUGCUUCUGCGUACACCCUGAUCCUACAUAUCGACUGACAGAAGGCAGAAGAAAGAAGAUAACCUGCAGAAAAAGAAGAGAAGUUAUGCAGAAAAUAUUUUGUGAUUGUUGUUGACAACUUUAUUUGAUUGUAGUGCUAAGAUUAAUUGACAAUCUUUGUUUAUUUAUUGUUUAUAAUUUGAUUGUUUUUUUCUUAGAUUAAUGGACUUUCGAAAGAAUAGGGCACAUAAUGGUAAAAUUUUGCUCAUAAAUGACUUUUGUUUUCACUUAGAAACCUGUUUAAUAUUUCUUCUUCUCUUUGUUUCCUUUAUUUAAAAGGCUACCCCUGCUGCCUAAUGUCUGCUUAAGUAACAUGCAUAAAGGCACCCAGACUCAGAUUGGCAUUCGUGGAUCACAUUAAUGCAAAAACACCCCGUAUUACCCACCGUUCACCGGUACCUAAGCGCUCUGUUGAGAAGAAGAAAUUGCGCAAAAAAACUUCAUAGCAAAAUACAUAGGUACGAUACACAAUAAUACGUAUUCUUAUACAAAUGUUAACAAAACAAUGACCUAGUAAUAGCUGGAGCUCUAAAAAAAUUUUCAAAUAAAAACGCCGUCUUAUAUCGUCACGGGAUAACUUCAUGGGCAGAGACCCGGUCUUUUUUAAAAGCGUACACGGGGACACAGGUCCAACAUGUAUAGGCCUUGUUGAGAACUUUAAUCUAAAAUGUGAUGGGGUAUCUACCAGGAGCCACCUACCCCUGCUCUACAAAAGAAUAAACAUGGAUGGCCCAAGGAUACUAAAAACUACUGCAAAUUGUAUUAUGUUAUUAUUAUUAUAUUAUCUUUUAUGUCACCUAUUAGAGCGAUGGAAAUAAAUAUGCACCUCCAGGUACCGACGGGAGUCUUGCCAAGUCUUAGCUGCACGUGUAAGGAGCGUCACGCUGCACAUAUAAUGCGACGCGAUGACUUUAUUUUUGUAACUGCGCGUCUAGCUGUGUUUUAUGUAAUUAUAUUAUUAAUAAAUAGUGUUGUUUCUGUAAUUCUGUUGUUUAGGUGUUUUUUGUUUUGAAGUAUCUGUUUAUUUCAUUUUGUGAAUCGUCUUGGGUUGUCAUGAAGUUUGUAAAUUUUGUAUUGAGUGUUUUAGUAACUGAUGGUGUCUCUUGCGACGGCGUGCUGAAACUGCGCUUGCGCAUCGUGCUUAGAAGCUGAACUCAAACCAGCGAAAGAAGAAAUAGAGUACGCCCCUAUAAAUUGACAUCUUUUAAAAAUGUAUCCGUAAAUAAAACAUGGAAUCAUCUUUUCUAUUUCAAAUUACUCUUUUCAAAAUAAUCGAAUAAUCGAUUUUUGGCUUCCGAAAAAUAGUAGGUACUGCGCCAGCUUUAUGUUUAUAAAAUUAAAUCUUUAAAAUUGGCAAGAACUACGUUGUUAAACUGAAAUAUUUGACAAUUUAAUAAACAAUAACAUUGUAAA